rnacentral:rRNA from 1 species
UAGGGAAUCUUCGGCAAUGGGGGCAACCCUGACCGAGCAACGCCGCGUGAGUGAAGAAGGUUUUCGGAUCGUAAAGCUCUGUUGUAAGAGAAGAACGUGUGUGAGAGUGGAAAGUUCACACAGUGACGGUAACUUACCAGAAAGGGACGGCUAACUACGUGCCAUCAGCCGAGGUAAUACGUAGGUCCCGAGCGUUGUCCGGAUUUAUUGGGCGUAAAGCGAGCGCAGGCGGUUUAAUAAGUCUGAAGUUAAAGGCAGUGGCUUAACCAUUGUUCGCUUUGGAAACUGUUAAACUUGAGUGCAGAAGGGGAGAGUGGAAUUCCAUGUGUAGCGGUGAAAUGCGGAGAUAUAUGGAGGAACACCGGUGGCGAAAGCGGCUCUCUGGUCUGUAACUGACGCUGAGGCUCGAAAGCGUGGGGAGCAAACAGG